rnacentral:misc_RNA from 1 species
AACGCACAUUGCGCCCGUUAGUAUUCUGACGGGCAUGCCUGUCCGAGCGUCAUUUAAACCCUUAAGCCCAGCUUAGCGUUGGCGGAUUGCUGCGUCCAGCGCUGCAACCGCCCAAAUCCAUUGGCGGUCCCGCCGCGGCUCCCUUGCGUAGUAACUCACCUCGCACCGGGCCCGGGCGGCGACCCGCCGUAAAACCCCCACUAUAACAAGGUUGACCUCGGAUCAGGUAGGAAUACCCGCUGAACUUAA